rnacentral:rRNA from 1 species
CUGAAACAUCUUAGUACCCGGAGGAAGAGAAAGAAAAUUCGAUUCCCUUAGUAGCGGCGAGCGAAACGGGAAGAGCCCAAACCAACAAGCUUGCUUGUUGGGGUUGUAGGACACUCUAUACGGAGUUACAAAGGACGACAUUAGACGAAUCAUCUGGAAAGAUGAAUCAAAGAAGGUAAUAAUCCUGUAGUCGAAAAUGUUGUCUCUCUUGAGUGGAUCCUGAGUACGACGGAGCACGUGAAAUUCCGUCGGAAUCUGGGAGGACCAUCUCCUAAGGCUAAAUACUCUCUAGUGACCGAUAGUGAACCAGUACCGUGAGGGAAAGGUGAAAAGCACCCCGGAAGGGGAGUGAAAUAGAACCUGAAACCGUGUGCUUACAAGUAGUCAGAGCCCGUUAAUGGGUGAUGGCGUGCCUUUUGUAGAAUGAACCGGCGAGUUACGAUUUGAUGCAAGGUUAAGCAGUAAAUGUGGAGCCGUAGCGAAAGCGAGUCUGAAUAGGGCGUUUAGUAUUUGGUCGUAGACCCGAAACCAGGUGAUCUACCCUUGGUCAGGUUGAAGUUCAGGUAACACUGAAUGGAGGACCGAACCGACUUACGUUGAAAAGU